UGUUCUGUGGCUUAGUUGGUUAAAGCGCCGUCCUAGCGAAUACGGAGUCGUGGGUUCGAUUCCCACCAGAAUGC
rnacentral:tRNA from 1 species